UGUGGGAAGAAGGCCUUCGGGUCGUAAACCACUGUCGGGAGUUAAGAAAUGUAAGGGUGUUAAUAGCAUCCUUACUUGACUAAGGCUCCGGAGGAAGCCACGGCUAACUCUGUGCCAGCAGCCGCGGUAAUACAGAGGUGGCAAGCGUUGUUCGGAAUUAUUGGGCGUAAAGAGCACGUAGGCGGUUCUGCAAGUCGGCUGUGAAAGCCUUCCGCUCAACGGAAGAACAGCAGUUGAUACUACAGGACUAGAGUGCGGGAGGGGAGAGUGGAACUUCUGGUGGAGCGGUGAAAUGCGUAGAUAUCAGAAGGAACGCCGGCGGCGAAAGCGACUCUCUGGCCCGUAACUGACGCUGAGUGUGCGAAAGCUAGGGGAGCAAACGGGAUUAGAUACCCCGGUAGUCCUAGCCGUAAACGAUGGGCACUAAGUAGAGGGGUUUU
rnacentral:rRNA from 1 species